rnacentral:tRNA from 1 species
GCCAGCUCGGCCUGGUUGGGCCUGCACUUGCCACGCGGCUGGUGCUGGCUGGCCGCACGGAGUGCGGCGCUCCGGGCUGGCU